AACGGCCCACCAAGGCUACGAUCCGUAGCUGGUCCUGAGAGGGUGAUCCCCCACACUGGUACUGAGACACGGACCAGACUCCUACGGGAGGCAGCAGUGAGGAAUAUUGGUCAAUGGGCGCAAGCCUGAACCAGCCAUCCCGCGUGAAGGAAGAAGGCGCUAUGCGUCGUAAACUUCUUUUCCGGAGGAAUAAAAUUUCGUACGAGUACGGGACUGAAGGUACUCCGGGAAUAAGCAUCGGCUAACUCCGUGCCAGCAGCCGCGGUAAUACGGAGGAUGCGAGCGUUAUCCGGAUUUAUUGGGUUUAAAGGGUGCGUAGGCGGAUUAAUAAGUCAGUGGUGAAAACCUUCAGCUUAACUGGAGACUUGCCAUUGAUACUGUUAGUCUUGAGUAUGGUUAAGGUAGGCGGAAUGUGUAAUGUAGCGGUGAAAUGCUUAGAUAUUACACAGAACACCGAUUGCGAAGGCAGCUUACUGAACCAUAACUGACGCUGAUGCACGAAAGCGUGGGGAGCGAACAGGAUUAGAUACCCUGGUAGUCCACGCCGUAAACGAUGAUCACUCGCUGUUGGCGAUACACAGUCAGCGGCUAAGCAAAAGCAUUAAGUGAUCCACCUGGGGGAGUACGGCCGCAAGGCUGAAACUCAAAGG
rnacentral:rRNA from 1 species